rnacentral:rRNA from 1 species
UUCGGCGGCCAUAGCGUGAGGGAAACGCCCGGUUACAUUCCGAACCCGGAAGCUAAGCCUCACAGCGCCGAUGGUACUGCAGGGGGGACCCUGUGGGAGAGUAGGACACCGCCGGACUUCUUUCGU